rnacentral:rRNA from 1 species
AUUGAACGCUGGCGGCAGGCCUAACACUUGCAAGUCGAGCGCAGCGGCGGACGGGUGAGUAAUGUCUGGGAAACUGCCUGCUUGUGUGGGAUAACGUCCGGCAACGGGCGCUAAUACCGCAUACUAUGCGAUGAGCCUCGGUCGGAUUAGCUAGUUGGUGGGGUAAAGGCCUCACAAGGCGACGAUCCGUAACUGUUCUGAGAGGAUGAUCAGGCACACUGGAACUGAGACACUGUCCAGACUCUUACGUGAGGCAGCAGUGGGGAAUAUUGGACAAUGGGGGAAGGCCUGAUCCAGCAAUGCCGCGUGUGUGAAGAAGGUCUGCGGAGUGUAAAGCACUAGAAGUUGGGGGGCGUUACCAACAGAAUAAGCACCGGCUAACGUCGUGCCAGCAGCCGCGGUAAUAC